rnacentral:miRNA from 1 species
UGGCAGUGUGGAUAGCUGGCCGU